rnacentral:tRNA from 1 species
GCCUGGGUGGCUCAGUUGGUUAAGCAACUGACUCCCAAUCUCAGCAUCGUGAGUUCAAGUCCCACACUGGGCU